UACCACCAGACUGGCUACUAGCACGAGA
rnacentral:piRNA from 1 species